rnacentral:rRNA from 1 species
GCUUAUACUCGACCGUCAGCGGCACGUGCGACCGCGCGUUUCGGCGCGCGGUCACGAAGCCCUGACGAGUAGGAGGGUCGCGGCGGUGAGCGCAGAAGGGCUGGCCGCGAGGCCGUCUGGAGCCGCCGUCGGUGCAGAUCUUGGUGGUAGUAGCAAAUACUCCAGCGAGGCCCUGGAGGACUGACGUGGAGAAGGGUUUCGUGUGAACAGCCGUUGCACACGAGUCAGUCGAUCCUAAGCCCUAGGCGAAAGCCGAUGUCGAUGUGGUGUGGAUUUAUUUUUUACGACGACGACGACGACGACGUUGAGAGCGAGACAAAGGUUAAUUCGUUCCUAUAACGACGCGCGACGUGCGUAUCAAGCCGAUCGAACACACCCAUCGGGCGAAAGGGAAUCCGGUUCCUAUUCCGGAACCUGGCAGCGGAACCGUCAAAAAGUCGGGC